GACGAACGCUGGCGGCGUGCCUAAUACAUGCAAGUAGAACGCUGAAGAGAGGAGCUUACUCUUCUUGGAUGAGUUGCGCACGGGGGAGUAACGCGUAGGGAACCUGCCUUGUAGCGGGGGGUAACUAUUUGAAACGAUAGCUAAUACCGCAUAAAAAUGGAUGACACAUGUCAUUUAUUUUAAAGGGGCAAUUUCUCCACUACAAGAUGGACCUGCGUUGUAUUAGCUAGUAGGUGAGGUAAUGGCUCACCUAGGCGACGAUACAUAGCCGACCUGAGAGGGUGAUCGGCCACACUGGGACUGAGACACGGCCCAGACUCCUACGGGAGGCAGCAGUAGGGAAUCUUCGGCAAUGGGGGCAACCCUGACCGAGCAACGCCGCGCGAGUGAAGAAGGUUUUCGGAUCGUAAAGCUCUGUUGUAAGUCAAGAACGGGUGUGAGAGUGGAAAGUUCACACUGUGACGGUAGCUUACCAGAAAGGGACGGCUAACUACGUG
rnacentral:rRNA from 1 species